rnacentral:lncRNA from 1 species
GUACUCAUGUAGUGUUAGACACUUAGACUAUACAAGUAUCACUAGUCAAUCGACCAACAAUCAAACAAGAACAUGAUCGGCCAACCAAUGAUACCGCAUAGCUUUAAUAUCCACCACCCUUCACAAGCAAUCCCUCAAACACAUACAGGACAAUGUCGGGCCUACAAUAACCAAAUACACACCAAGCCUAAUCCGGUACCUAAACCAGACUUAGGACUUAAUGUCAGAACCUGCAAGCAAAUCAAUCAACCACAAUCACAAUAAUAACUAUAACUACGACUCGAUCUAACACGUAACACCGUAUAUCGGUGCUACCCUAACUCGAGGAUCCCAUAACCCUCUACGACACACUAACACAACACUCUAACCUGGGCCCUGGUGACAUCGUGUUCCUCCUCUCUAUCGGCAAUAUCCUAUCUCCCUACCACAAAGGCCAGAAGAAGGAACUUUCAACCGACCGCGGCCCACAGUCCUUCGGGUCACCGCGCGACAGCCCACAGUCCUUCGGGUCACUGCCACAUUACACCGUCGUGUAAUCACUCAGCCAUAGGCCAUGACCCCGUCUCUCUGAGUCUUCCCGAUCCAGCGAAUAAGGGGUUUCCUUGAACCCGCUGGGUACGAGGUCUGAAGGAACACUAACUCACCUCUACACAAGCCUAGUAUGGGCGGGUCACGCACAUACUGUCGGCACACUCACAACAAAACAAACUCAAUCUAGAACCUAACCUAAGGCUAAAGUUCCAGAUCCUAACUAGACACUCGACUCUACAACACAAACCAAUAGUACCAGUAGUCCGGCCUUUAUGGCCUAAGACCCUUACUACUAACUAGUAAACAAUAAUAUCAAUACUAAACAACACAAUCAAACCGUUACCCAGAUAGUCCAGCCUCCCGCUGAGAAACUAUCUUUAAAGAUAACGGGAACCUGCACUCAACCAUAUCAACACGCAAGAAUAGAAAACAUGAUGCAUCCUAGCCCUAGUCCUAGUCAGGUUAUUAACUCAGUCUUAAUUCCAUUCAUCUCAGCUUAGCCCUUGCUAAACUGAGUCCGGUUCCAUAAAUAAAAUAACCCUAAGGACUCUACCAUUCAAUAACGUGAUCAUUCUACUCUAUAUGCGACUCGAUCUACCCUAAAUUCCAAGUGGAACUCAAACAAAACCAACUCACAGUGUUCUAGGCGAGAAGCAGCUGGUUGAUCGUAGAGGACUUGGCCAAAACCCAAGGGACGCCUUGACUGGACUGGACUGGACUGAUCUUGACUUGGACAUAACCUCGGCUUCAUCAUGAAGAAACUGACACGUCUGGACAGACUGAUCUGGACAGAAUCUCCUUUAGCUGCUGGACAGUUCUUCGGACAUUUCGGCGGAGUAUCGAGGAGAACUUCGACUGAUCUGAACCCAUGGAACUGAACUAAUCUUGGAAGGCACCUCCACUUGAUUGUAGGAGAAUAUGACUGGCUUGGACGGAUUGAAUUGGACAGAGCUUUCGCGUCACAAUCGUAGAGAAUCGCCGAUUGGACGGAACUGGCCUUCUCGGUGAAGUAUCGGUCUUCAGAACUCAGCUACACUUUCUUUCUCUCUCUCUCUAACCACGUUGACUUGCUUCCCAUCUGAAUUUAUCUUCAAUUGGUUGAUCUUCAGUUGGCCAGAACCUUCCCUAGGCGCUGACUUGAAAUCAGUAGAGAAACUGAUCUCGAAAACUCUCUAAAACUCUCGAAAUAGCUCAGAACCUCUUACUUUCUUUUUCUACUUCUUUCUCUCUCUCUAACCCACUUUUUUAACUUGCUUUUGAAAGGUAUGGAUGAAUGAAAUGAGAAGGGGUCGUGGUCUUUAUAUAGGAGACACCAGCCAAUCAGCUUCAGGUUGGUGGCAGCCCGUGUGUCGCUCCGCAUGGCUCCGGACGCAUGCACGGCGGCACCUCGUGCUCCACAUGGCUGGCUGCAUGUCCAGGACACAUGCAGGACGCCACCACUCCUCCCAGAUGUCAGGCUGCAUGACUGGAGCUCAUGCAAGGCGCCACACAUCCUCACACAUGUCGAUCAGCAUGCUUUGGUUCCAUGCGUCGCGACAUCUCGUGCUUGGCGAUCCACCUCGUGCUUCUACAUGUCAAGCUGCAUGUGCAGCUUCCAUGCACGGUGACACCUCGAGCUUCUCUUGACACUCAGCCGGUUAGACAGUUGCCACCAGGUUCUUAUCCCUUCUGAUCAAGCCACCUCGAGCUUCUCGGUUCCUUUGCGCGAUUUCGACCCUUCUUGUGAAUUUCUGACCCGCGAUCAAUCCCGAAUAUUUUUCCGCUUCCAUUCUGAUUCUCUGAAUAUUUUUAAUAAACUACAGAUGAUGUUUGAUAUCCUUUAAAAAUAUUUCCCGAGCCUCCGGCUUCCUCAAAGAAUUUCGUAAUACCGAAAUUAGGGUUUUUGCCCAACUUCGGGUUUUCCCGUCAUGCUUCAAUCCCGUCGUGCUUGCUUCCCGUCCUGCUUAAUUCCCGUCCUGCUUCCGACUUAUAAUAUCUUCAGAAUAAUAUUUUACUGAUACGAAGAUAUUCCGAGAAAACUUCGCGAUGAAGAAACGUCAAUCUUCAAAAACGUCGAGCUUCUAAACCGUCGUGCUUCAAAAAUGUGAUUCUUCCAAAACUGCCGUCUAAUCAAUCUAAGACAUUUCUAACAAUGGUAGAGCAGCUUAUCUCAACUCAUUCUUCACUCACGAUUCAUUAUUCGACCUUCUCGUACUUCAAAUUUCCCGAUCGAUCUGUAUUGCCCGCGACUCAACCAGAAAGUUGAUUCUCGACCAAUCUUCUAUUUUCUUCGAUCCAUGUUAAGUCUUAAGUGAUCAAAACUUAACAUUCCUUCAAUUGCUUUGAUUCCCAAAAGCUCGGCUCUGGAUUCUGACUUUUGCUCUCUCGACCAUUUUAUCCCAAAGGGCGGGUUAUCACAUUCUCCCCCCCCCUUAAUAGAAUUCGUCCUCGAAUUCUUAGUUGCGCAAUUGCUUAGCUUCACGAAAUGUUCCUCCUUGAUGUGUAGUGAUGAUGUUCAGCUUUUGAAUAACUUCGUCUUGCGGUCUUGGUCAUAAGAUAUGGUUCUUUGCUGGCUCCCCUUUCUCUCGGUUUCUUUAGGUCUCCAUGAACACUUUGGAUUUUGAACUUGCUCCACCUUGAUAACAACUCCUCCAUAACUCCUAGUUACAUAACUUUGUCUUGAUCACUAGAUGUGCUUCUUUAUCGGUUGGCCUUAGAUAUCUCCCCUUGAUUUCUUCAGUCUUCUUCUAGAUUUUCUGAUUCUGAACUCGCUCCAUCUUAAUCCAUCUCCAUGCAUUUCCUCGGUCUUGAAUCCUUUCAUUUCUUCACUUCUUGAUUUCUCAUGCUUCACUUAAUCUCAACUCGUCUUCAUAACUCUUUACUUUGUUUGGCCAUGUCCCUUUGUGUAUACUGUCUAAAGUCGCCAUAAUCGUCUUCAUAUCUCUUCACUCUGCCUUUCACUGUCCCUUGAAUGUCCUUCCCAAUGUCACCACAAUCAUCUUCAUAAAUCUUCACUUGAAUGAUCACUGCGUCUUCUUCUUAGUUUUUACUUUUCUGCCCAACUAAUUUCCCAUGAUACGAUCUUGCCAAUCUGCGCCUCUGAUUACUCCAACCAUUUCCUCGAUCUCUCAUUUCCCAGAUACUGAUGAAGUCCUUUCCCAACGAAGUCUUGUUUCUUCCCAUCUGUCCAGUCCAUACCACAGCCCAGUUCUCUGAAUCUGUCUCUCCUCUUUCGCUUCGGGUUUGGGUUUGGCCUCGAACUCCCUCCACUUUAAGGUUUUCAUCCCUUAAAGUUCCGAUCAACAAACACACUUACUCGCUGCAACUCAAAAGAACACCUCACAUGCAAGUUAGUAAACAACUAACCCAACAAAUACUAACAAUGCAACCUAACCGCAAUUCUAACCAGCAACCUAACAGUUCUAGAUUCCACUAUCUCAAUCCUAAUUUCCUAAAACCACAAAUCCUAUCGCUGGACGUGACCGGUUUCCCUAAUGCCUUUUGUGACUCAUUUUGACUCGAUAAAUAUUUAAAACCGAUUAAAUCAUGAGUUCCGGAAGCAUGGACGAAACCAUGCUCUGAUACCACCUCUGUAACACCCCCGAACCGUCCUAGACAUAUGGUCGAUCAACCGGCCAACAAUCAAACAAGAACAUGACCUAUCGACCGUCCAACACCCAGGGUUAGAGAUGAAUGAGCCAACCGGCCAGCCAACAAUCAAACAAGAACAUGACCUAUCGACCGUCCAACACCCAGGGUUAGAGAUGAAUGAGCCAACCGGCCAGCCAACAAUCAAACAAGAACAUGACUGACCGUCCAACCCAACACCAUGGUCCGGAAGCGCUACGUGACGGGUUAGGGACGAUCCGGUCAGAGUCACAAACUUUUACUCCACGACCUAGACCAGUUCAUCCACUAACUCGUCCCGCUGCGUCAAGGCAUAAGGCUUUGCAACCCGUACCUAGAGUUAGCGUUUUCCGUUAGAUCGAGGCCUAAGGCUUUUCAACCCGUACUACGACCUAACGUUGUGUUAGACCGGACUAGUCAAAUAUCAGAGUACUCAUGAAGCGCAUAUAAAACAAUUACUUUAUUUAUUCGAGAAAUAUCCAUACAUUGAUAUAAUUCGAGACCGGUCCCGGCCUAAUGCCAAAUCGAGUCAACUAAACACAAAUCCACAAUACCGUUUACAAAAGGCAUGAAUAUCUACACCGGCGGUCCUAACGUCCAGCACCAAGCUAUCCGAUCAUCCUUACCUAAAGCGACCUGCAAAAAGGACAACGGAGUUGGAUGAGUAACCUAAUGUUACUCAGUGAGCUGGCGGCCUCUACCCGCAACCUAGACUCUAACCCGGACAACCCAAAAUAACAAUCAAUCUAGCCCUAGCAUGCAAUAAAAGCUAAGGCUAAGCAAACCGUUACUAAGUUAGACUUGGCCUCCUGCCAUGAUCUAGCUUCAAGUAACGGGAACCUGCAUAAAAACAAGUCAACAAACAAUCCCUAGUUAACCAUAUAUACGCCUGAGUUCAAUACUCAUGUAGUGUUAGACACUUAGACUAUGCAAGUAUCAUUAAUCGAUCGACCAACAAUCAAACAAGAACAUGAUCGGCCAACCAAUGAUACCGCAUAGCUUUAAUAUCCACCACCCUUCACAAGCAAUCACUCAAACACAUACAGGCCAACGUCAGGCCUACACUAACGAAAUACACAUCAAGCCUAAUCUGGUACCUAAACCAGACUUAUGACUUAAUGUCAGAACCUGCAAGCAAAUCAGUCAACCACAAACACAAUCACAAUAAUAAGACUAUGAGUAUCUACGACUCGAUCUAACUCGUAACACCGUAUAUCGGUGCUACACUAUCUCGAGGGUUCCUCACCCUCAAGACGACACAAUAAAACUAACUCGACACACUAUUCUAACUCUAGACUCAAUAUUCUAACAUGGGCCCUGGUGAUCUCGUGUUCCUCCUCAACAUCGGCAAU